rnacentral:rRNA from 1 species
UACGUAGGGUGCAAGCGUUGUCCGGAAUUAUUGGGCGUAAAGAGCUCGUAGGCGGUUUGUCGCGUCUGCUGUGAAAUCCCGAGGCUCAACCUCGGGCCUGCAGUGGGUACGGGCAAACUAGAGUGUGGUAGGGGAGAUUGGAACUCCUGGUGUAGCGGUGGAAUGCGCAGAUAUCAGGAAGAACACCGAUGGCGAAGGCAGAUCUCUGGGCCAUUACUGACGCUGAGGAGCGAAAGCGUGGGGAGCGAACAGGAUUAGAUACCCCGGUAGUCC